UAGCUGGUGCUCCGGGAAAUAGAGAGUUGGGCAGAGUUCCCAUCCUGUGGAGCUUGCAGUUGGAAAAAUCCUCUACACACCAAGAAGGCUGGCAGAGUAGCAGUUGAUCCACAGUGGGAGCCCAGAGGGGGAAGGAAACAACUAGCAAGCCAUUCCAGAAGUGCUGUGUGGUAUUUGGAGAGCUGGGUACCAGCAGCAGCACAGGUUUCCAGAGGUUUCAGCAGAGUGAGGAGAGGGCUGUGGGCUCAGGGUGCUUGAUCGAAGUGGGGCCUCCAGGACAGCCUGUUCUGUCUGCAGAGAAGUGCAGUUGGUGAGCAGUGUUAAAACACAGAUGUCAUUGUGACAACUUUUUCUGACUUCAUUAUUUACAUGCCAGCAUCACAAAAUUCUGGAAAAAAAUGAGGAGAAGGGGUUCUUCAGGACAGAGUCCCAUAUGUCCCAAGAUGACGAAUUCCCAGCGUCCACUGUGACCAUGGGGAUGAGGUGUCCACCAGAGUGUCCCCUGGCAUUUCCAUGACUGCAACAGACUAGAGGUUUUAUUAAAAAUGCCCAGUGAGAAGCAGACUGCAGUGAAAUACUACGUUGGAGUUGACGUGGGCUCAGCCAGCGUUCGCGCGGCGCUGGUGGACGGUUUUGGGACGGUGGUGGCACAUGCAGAACAACCCAUCCAGGUUUGGGAGCCCCGGCCAGACCACUAUGAGCAAUCCUCUGCAGACAUCUGGGCUGCCUGCUGCACUGUCACAAAGGAAGUUGUUCGUGGAGUGGAUGCCAGCCAGAUCCGAGGGCUUGGGUUUGAUGCUACCUGUUCCCUUGUUGUGGUGGAUAAACAGUUCCAGCCUUUGGCAGUCAACUCUGAAGGACAGAGCCAUAGGAAUGUGAUCAUGUGGAUGGACCAUCGUGCAGCCAGCCAAGUCAAGCGCAUCAAUGCCACCCAGCACAGGGUUCUGAGCUACGUAGGGGGAGCCAUGUCUGUGGAAAUGCAGCCUCCUAAAUUGCUCUGGAUAAAGGAAAACUUGCCAGAAUCGUGGGAGAAGGUUGGCUACUUCUUUGAUCUUCCAGAUUUCUUAUCUUGGAAAGCCACAGGUGUCACUGCAAGGUCUCUCUGUACAGUAGUGUGCAAGUGGACAUACACAUCAGAUAGAGGUUGGGAUGACACUUUCUGGAAAAUGAUUGGUUUGGAAGAUUUGGUGAAGGAUAAGUAUGAAAAAAUAGGAAACCACGUCCUGUCUCCUGGAGAGGCUGUUGGGAAAGGUCUGACAGCGGACGCUGCGGAAGAUCUCGGGCUCCCCGAAGGGAUUGCAGUGGCAGCAUCUCUCAUUGAUGCACAUGCUGGAGGACUAGGAGUAAUUGGAGCAGAUGUGAAAGGACACAACCUUCCAUGUGAGAACCAGCCCAUUACAUCCCGAGUCGCUAUGAUCUGUGGAACAUCUUCGUGCCACAUGGGGGUCAGUGAAACCCCCAUUUUUGUGCCUGGUGUUUGGGGACCCUAUUUCUCUGCCAUGGUACCUGGACUGUGGUUGAAUGAGGGAGGCCAGAGUGCUACAGGAAAACUGAUCGAUCAUGUGGUGCGAGGCCACGUCGCCUUCCCAGAACUGGAGGCAAGGGCUGAAGCCAGUGCUCACAGUAUAUAUACAUACUUGAACAGUCACCUGGAUCUGAUUAAAAAAUCUUUGCCUGUGGGUUUCCUCACUGUUGAUUUACAUGUUUGGCCAGAUUUCCAUGGUAACAGAUCUCCCUUAACAGAUCUGACACUAAAGGGCAUGGUGGUUGGACUAACAUUGUCUCGGGGUCUGGAUGAACUUGCCCUUAUCUACCUGGCCACGAUCCAAGCCAUUGCUUUAGGAACAAGACACAUUUUGGAGGCGAUGCAGGCUGCAGGACAUGAGAUCACCACGCUGUUCCUGUGUGGUGGGCUGAGCAAGAACCCUCUCUUUGUGCAGAUGCAUGCUGACAUUACUGGCAAACCUGUUGUGCUGUCCAAAGAAGUGGAGUCUGUUUUGGUGGGUGCUGCUAUUCUUGGAGCUUGUGCUUCUGGGGAUUUUGCAUCUAUCCAGGAGGCCAUGGCAAAAAUGGGGAAAAUUGGAAAAGUUGUGCAGCCCAACCAGGAGCAUAAAAGAUUUUAUGACAAGAAGUACGAAGUAUUUUUGAAGCUUGUGGAGCACCAGAGAGAGUAUCGCUCCAUCAUGAACAGUUUGUGAUCCAGAGGCUUGGGAGCUGGGAACAGCAGGCAAAUUUCCAGGCAUGUGUGAUGCGGAGGGGAAGCAACCACUGUGUCAUCAGCUGCUCCAAGAGUCCUGCAGAGAGGCCCAGGCUUUGCUCACAUGGAGAAGAAAAGAAUAUGAUGGUUCCAAAGAAGCAAAGAGAAACUCUUAGGAAAAAACUCCAUGAGACCCACCUGGGUGAAUAGUCCUCACAAGGCAAGAGUCAGGAAUGACAGCCUGUCAUACAGGGCAAUUGCAGGACUUCUCCAGGUAAGAAUUCCAGAAGUAUUUUCACUAGAAGAUUUUGGAUGCAUCAGGAUGGUAACAUUCCACCACAGUAUUGUCAGUACCUGCGUCAGAAGGUAAACAAAUAAUGGUACAGACUAGUUUUCCUUGCUGGGUCUCUUUCAGUCCAUUUGUUAUGUGCUACUCACUCAGCAAAUGCUGAUUUAUAAACACUUAGGGGUCAAGGUUGUUUCCUUAGCUUAUUGUGUUGCUUCUCACAAGAGGUGUGAAAAGCAACACAGUUCCACAAUAAAGAACAUUUUCAUUUUUUCCCCUGUAUCCAGCCUCCCAGUACAACAAGCAACCUCUGACUGGGGCCUGGUAAGAUUAGGAACUUCCAUGCUGCUUUUUGUGGAAUGUUACCCGAGAGAGUCAAUAAACUACACAAAAGAAAAAUGCUGGAGGCCUGUUUGAUAUUUCACAGAGUUGUUUGAUCUGACAUGUGUCAAAUGAUAAAUGCAAAUGGCUGCCGGAUCAUUCAAGCCCAAGUGGGUUUUGAAAUGUUGUGGGAAAAUUAGAGGAUAAAUAAAUCUGAUCCCAAGAGCUCAAGCUUGUUGUUUGGCAUGUGUCAGAAUGCAGAGAGAGGUAAAUAUUACCUUUGUCUGCAGGGAGGCAGGUUAGUGCUGCUAACCAGGGACUGUGCCUCCAGUAGGGGGUCAGGCAGCAACCUACCAAAUUAAAAAAUGAAGAUAUGCUAAACAUAUUGGAGUUUAUUUAAUGUUUACAGGGAAAUUGGCAGGAUUAAGAAACCCUCUUUCUACAACAGACUAUGAAAAUGAAUGUGAUUCUUUAUGUUUAACACAUGUUUUUCUUCUGCAAAGUGACUGUGCAAAAAUGGAGCCUUUGCUCUUCUACACUGGUAUGUGCAGAGAUUUACAGAUCAGCUAGGGGAGGGUUUCCUUUCCACAGUUUCUUUCCCUGUGGAUCUUUCUCUGGAAGUUCCCUGGGUCAGGGAAGCUGAAGCCCUCAGGAUUAGGGGUGCCCGUGGACAGAAGCAUUGCAGCUGCAUCAAGGUGGAGUUGUCCCGAGUGACUUCCAGGGCCAGUUAUCCCAGAUAAACCAGCAGGCACAGCCAAGGAGCAGCUUGUACCUCUGGAAAAGCAAAUUGCCACAUCCUUUUUUACCCAGACUGCUGCUGAUUUCCAUGUACAAUAUAGAGAGGUUUCAGGAGUGAAAGGGGGCAGAGUGUGAGGACAGCAAGAUUAGGCUGCACAUGCAGUGACAGCAGUGAGUUAGUGCUGGUCAGAAAACAGGAAAAUUGAAUGUCAGGGCUGGCACCACCAACAAACCCAGUAAAGCACAAACAGCAUCUCAGCAGAAGCAGCACAGCUUGACUGGCAGCUCCGGGGCACAGCGAGCAGUGUGACAGGUCAGGGAAACAAAACCUCUCAGCAUUUCAACUGAUGCAACCUGACAGGGACCCCAGUGAAAACAGCAGCACAACAUUGUGCUGCCAUUUUGAUGGGAUUGUUCUGUUGAGCUGAACAAUGAUCUUUGUUCUUAAAAAUAGCCAGUGAGGAGUUUGUGAGUUGUGCUGUAACAAGAAGUCUCCAGGAGCCCUCAGUGCAGGGGUUCUGCACCCAGCAUCACCUCAUCUGCUGUCACUGAGAAAGGGAAUUUGAGACAAACCAUGUUUGAAAUCCAGAAAAAAAAAAAAUGUUCCUGAUGCCAUCAGUUACAUCAUGUGUACAAGGACUGGGAAUGUGAAACUUGGCCCAAAGGUAUUUUUAUGAACCUCGCUCUGACUUGUGCUUUUUACUCAUUUUCAUUUGAGUGCAGGAUUUUUCUUUGUGCCUCUUGUGUUUUGUUUGCACACACAGAGUGUUUGGCUGAGCCCACAGCUGUGUUUAUUCCUAAAUCCCCAUCCAGUCUGUAUGAACCCAGUCUGGCACUCAGCUUCCAGCUUCUCCUUGAGCUUUGUGUUUGACACCCAUCACCUCUGACUGGCUUUGACCCCCUGGGGUGGUGGAUCAAAGCCUGGGGAUCCCCACGGCUGCAUUGCUGUGCCUGUGCUCAGUCCCAGCAAGGCCAACGGGGCACUGAUGGAUCCCAGAGUCCUUCAAGGCCUUUCACAAAAGAAUCCCAUGGAAACUAAGAUUUGCUGCACUCAGAAUCCUUUGUUUGGUAGAACAGGAAAGGAAGGACUCCUCUGAAGUUGACCCACUUGUCCUUCAGUGAAUUUUUCAUAGAAUUGACAAAAUCCUGUUUUAAUCUAUCCCACUCCACAACCUUCUGAGGGACUCUGUAGGUUUCUCUAAAAUACCGCUGUGGUUAUUGUUAAUUAGAAAAAAAUAAUAUUGCUGAAGGAUCGCUUUUCAGUUGAACUUCCUGAACAUAUGGUUCAAACUGAAGCUGAAAAGGAAAACUUCAGGACAAACUGUAUGAAUUACUACUAAUAAUAAAAUCAGACAUUUUUUAUAAGUCCACAUUAAUCUUCUUUAAAAGCUUUGGGUUAACCACAUUUUUUAAAUAAAACUUUUACCGGAGCGGAAUUUAUUAAGAGAGCUCAGUGUUGCCUUAGCUCUGUUCCACAGGGCAUCAAGAGAAGUUUUAUUACUGAUUUCAGUCACAACAGACUUAGAUCUACACAGAAUGGUUUUGAUAAGCCCAAUGUAAAAGUUUUAUUGGUUUAAGACAUGAAAAACAGACAUGUUACAGAGACCACUUCUACUCUAUAAACAGCCAUAACAUGGAUAAUGCAUUGCACUGGUGUCAGUGCUCCAGAGUGUAAAUAAUGGUGUGGAGGGAAGGAAAGCCUGGCCAAGUAUGUACAGCUAAGAAAAACAACAUAGACCCAGCUUGUAUAUGGUACUUCUCCUCUACAGAUUUCAAAAUUAAAUACAAAUAAAGUCUGUAUCAUUAGGUCAUACUCACAGAUGGAAAAAGGAAAAUUAACCAGGCCAGGGAAAGAAGGAAGUUGAUGCUCUUUGUUAUUAUGUCUAUCUUUGUACUUGAAACUUCAACUACUGAGGCAUUAUUUGAAACAGGUUUUGAGGCCAUGUGGUUGCUGUUUGUCCUGGAUGGGUUCUGUUCAAAGCCUCCUUUUCCUGUAUGUUAUAAAACAGUGUUAGAAAAACAUGAAACAACCGGAAGUAUUACAUGGUGUCUCCCAGAGGUGUCCCUGGCUGUUGGGGAUCCCCUAAUUUGUUGUGCUCCCGGAGGAUGGGCAUUGUGGUAGUGGUGACAUGGGGCUGUGCUCUGUUAUCUUUAUCCUAAAGAUAAAAAUGUGCUUUUAUUGCACCAGCAUUAACAACACAGCCCGUUGUUCUCCUUUGUACUUAGAUCUUUUUAUAGCGUGGUGAAAAAAGUGUGAAUGGCUUGUAAAUAUAACUUGCACUUGCUUCAAGGUACCAAGCUCACACUGGCUCCAGUGGUGCAGAACAUGGGCCUUAAAAAUCCUGAAAUCCCUUUAUAAAUGCAAUUCUGGACAUACUUCCCUCCACUAUUCUGUGCUUCAUCCUUGUAUUCAAUUGGAAAAACUAUUUAAAUGCUGUAAUCCCAACCAUAUGGCUCAGAGCCUCAAAGAAGGCAUUUAGCAGACACGUUUGUCUGGAGAAUUAGGGUUUUACACAGAUUAUCCAGUGACUGGAGAUGGGAUACCUCCUCUGGGGGAGGACAGGAGCCUACACCAGGGGCUGCCUUGACAGAAGGACCCUCUCUAUCUGUUCUGUCCCUUUCCUGUUAAACAGAUCCUGGGUUGGAAUAAACAGUUAGUGAGCUUACGUUGGGAUGAGAUGUCUUUGAACAAUUUUCCUCAGCAAGACCACACAGAUUUACUUAAAAACAGAAAACAGAUUUAAAAAACCUUUAUGCAUGACUAGAAACCAACUUACUGAAUUGUUUAAAAUGGAACUUCCACUACUUUGUGUAAAAAGCUUUUACAGGACUGCAAACCAAUGUAAUUAUGCCUAGAUCACUGUUUUAUUUUAGGCAAAUGUUUCACAUGGGAAACAAGAAUGUGGGACAGAACAAGACCUAAGCCUGCUGUGUCCUACUCCUGAUUUUUACCCAUAGAAAUUAAUUUUAUGGGACAGCUGGAUUUUUAUGCUGCUGAUUAAAAAGACAAGUUGUCUUCUCAGAAGUGAGUUCAUGCUUGAAGAUGAGACUUCAUGUUUGUUACAUCUCGAGCUUUCACACUUACAAAUGUGAUUAUUGGACUGUUGAUUUUUGUAAUAGGUUGGGGGUUUUUUGCAUAGUCGAAUACAAAUAGUGUGAUUUUCUGGUGCAUUUUACCCAUUCCACAAGUUUGUAUUGUAAUUUAACAGUAUCCUCUGAGAUCAUCUGUUACUUUUUGGCAGCCUAAGACUUCAUGGGCAUUUCAAAAGCGGCACCUUGUAGAUGAGAAAGCGAUGAGAAAAUAAAAAUACAGUUACUGAUUUUUCAGGGAAUAUAAAAA